UCCCCUCCCUCCUUCUCCUCCUCUUCCUCAUCACAACCUUCGCGAUCCUGCCCUCCCAAUCCAUAGUAACUUCUUCUACCUCCACCUCUUCCUUGCCAGCAACCCAUCCUUCCUUCUCAUCCCCUUUUUCUCUUUUUUUCUUUUGCUCCUCGUUGUCCUCCUCUUCUAAACCCACCCAUAAGCUCUUUCUCUCUAUAGUGGCUCUCUCUACCUCUAUUUUUUCUUCACUGGUAACUCUUUUUUCCUCUUUCUUAUCCCU
rnacentral:lncRNA from 1 species